GUGGCCUAGAAGAUAGGGCAUUGGCCUACAAAGCACAAUGUCGUGGGUUUGAGUCCCACC
rnacentral:tRNA from 1 species